AUUCCAGCUCCAAUAGCGUAUACUAAUGCUGUUGCUGUUAAAAAAGCUCGUAGUUCGAUAAGGAUUGAUUCUGGUUCAGAUUCAGUGCUUCGCAGCUUUGCUGCAGGUAUUCGAUGAGAUCCGCUUGGAAUUGGUUCUGCAAUGAGUGACUCGUACGGAGGAAGAGCUCUUCAUUGAGCUUGGAAUCGCUUUCGCAGCCAACAUCUGCACAAGUACAGUCGUUCGUGAUACCGUGAACAAAACAGCGUGCUCAAAGCAAGUGAUUCUGCUCGAAUGUUCAAGCAUGGAAUAUCAAGGAAUCGACCGUGAGUCUAAUCUUUGCUGGUUUCUGUAUGCGUCUUGGAGAAUUGGACCUGAGAAUAUCGUGCCGCAGUCAGUUCCUCCGGGUUCUGCUGUGGUACUAAGCUCUAGUUUACCGGUAUUAACAGGGAUGAACGGAGCAGUGUGUAUUGGCUC
rnacentral:rRNA from 1 species